CGAGAGGCCCAAACGUUAUUCGGAUUACUGGGCUUAAAGAGUUCGUAGGCGGCGCGGAAAGUAGGGUGUGAAAGCCCUCGGCUCAACCGAGGAAUUGCGCUCUAAACUACCGUGCUUGAGGAAGCUAGAGGUGAGCGGAACUGAUGGUGGAGCGGUGAAAUGCGUUGAUAUCAUCAGGAACACCGGAGGCGAAGGCGGCUCACUGGGGCUUUUCUGACGCUGAGGAACCGAAAGCCAGGGGAGCGAACGGGGAUUAGAUACCCCGGUAGUCCUGGCCGUAAACGAUGAGCACUGGGCCGGAGGACUGCACAGUUUUCCGGCCGUAGCGAAAGUGUUAAGUGCUCCGCCUGGGGAGUAUGGUCGCAAGGCUG
rnacentral:rRNA from 1 species